rnacentral:rRNA from 1 species
UGGGGAAUUUUGGACAAUGGGCGCAAGCCUGAUCCAGCAAUGCCGCGUGGGUGAAGACGGCCUGCGGGUUGUAAAGCCCUUUUAGUGGGGAAGAAAGCCGAGAGGCGAAUAGCCUCUGGGGGUGACGUUACCCACAGAAGAAGCACCGGCCAACUCCGUG